CCUUACUCCAACACAGUGCCGUCCCUAAGAAGAAAACACAAUGUCGGACAGUGCCGCCCCUCAUCCCUCCUCUGCCGCCAUCACUCCAACCUCCGGUUCCGUUUCUCAUUUAUUCAUGUUCAACGGACCGAAUUGUACAAUUUUGAGAAUUGGAAACUUUUGAAAUGAUUGGAUCUGUGAGACGUGAGGUAAUGCUGCCUUGGAGAGCACUAAAGGGGGUUGAGUUGUGGUAAAGUUCUCAAUGGAGGCACUUAAGAAUGGAUCAUGGGUUCUGCUAGAUGAACUCAAUCUUGGCCCACAAUCUGUCUUGGAGGGACUGAACGCUAUCUUGGAUCAUCGUGCUGAGGUUUUCAUCCCAGAAUUAGGUCUAACCUUUAAGUGCCAAACCUCCAUUCCUCUGGUGAUAACCUUGCUGCUCAUGGAGAAGCACUGAUAGUAGACCCAGGUUGCAACUUGCAAGUCAGCUUUUUAUGAAGAUGUAUCAUAGUAAAUUGAAGUUCUGUACACUUCUUUUAAUGGUUAACAACUUCAGGUCAUAGUGGGGAUGCUAAUGUAUCAAUUGCUUUACCUUAAUUCAUUUGAUUAUGACUUUAAUUUGUUUGAAUUUAUAUCCUGGAUUCCUGGUAGACUUAAAUUAGUAAAUGAUUGAAAUA